rnacentral:misc_RNA from 1 species
ACUAAAUCAAAGAUUCUAAUAUUUUUGUCUUCUAAAUUUUUAGUCAGUUUAGAAGUAAUUCUAACAUACAUAAUUCCCAAGAGAUCCAACAUGGAACACACUUUUUUUGAAAUAUAAAAGAUGAGAAUAUUAAGUACUGAUUAGUUUUCUUAGAAAUAUAUAAUGUAUAAAAGCACACACCUGCACCUUACAUCUUUAAUGUCUACAUGUGCCUGUUAAUUACUUAGUUUGGCUUUAAAAGGGUCUUCUUGAACCAGCAGUCUUGGCACUGACACUACCCUCCCAGGGCGAUUUUAAGGUGCACUCCCUCACAUCUGUCUAGUGUAUUCAGGAUAAAUAAUCCUGAAGUGUGCUCCCCAAUUAAGUCGAAGCUGGUUAAUAGGGAAGGGGGACUCUUAUCCUUACCAAUUGGACUAAUCCUGUUAGGUGUAUUUGGAUAAUUAUUAGUCAAAUGCCUAUCUAGUAGUCGAAGCCAAAAAACAAAUGUUAAUGCUAGUAAACUAGGCAGUAGAUCAAA